UAGGGAAUCUUCCACAAUGGACGACAAGUCUGAUGGAGCAACGCCGCGUGAGUGAAGAAGGUCUUCGGAUCGUAAACUCUGUUGUUAGAGAAGAACACGAGUGAGAGUAACUGUUCAUUCGAUGAGGUAUCUAACCAGCAAGUCACGGCUAGCUACGUGCCAG
rnacentral:rRNA from 1 species